rnacentral:rRNA from 1 species
AGUGAACGCUGGCGGCAGGCCUAACACACGCAAGUCGAACGGCAGCACAGAGGAGCUUGCUCCAUGGGUGGCGAGUGGCGGACGGGUGAGGAAUACAUCGGAAUCUGCCUAGUCGUGGGGGCAUAACGUAGGGAAACUUACGCUAAUACCGCAUACGACCUACGGGUGAAAGCGGGGGAUCGCAAGACCUCGCGCGAUUAGAUGAGCCGAUGUCCGAUUAGCUAGUUGGCGGGGUAAUGGCCACAAGGCCGACGAUCGGUAGCUGGUCUGAGAGGAUGAUCAGCCACACUGGAACUGAGACACGGUCCAGACUCCUACGGGAGGCAGCAGUGGGGAAUAUUGGACAAUGGGCGCAAGCCUGAUCCAGCCAUGCCGCGUGGGUGAAGAAGGCCUUC